GCCUCCCGCUGCCGCGGCCGCCGCCUCCCGCCGCCUGGGCCGGCCCCGGUCGGUGCAGCGCCCCCUGCCGGCCGGCCGGCCGGGCGCUGCGACGGUGGAGCGCAGGGUGCGGGACGGAACCUGGCGGCCUCCCCGGAGGCGGCAGCGGGAGCCUUGGAGAGAGAAGUGGCUGCUUCUUGGCGGGGGCGCUCUCUCCCCUGAGAUUUCUCGUGACCUGAUGCGAAGCCUCUUCCCCCCCCCCCCCGCGCUACCUAUCAGCCGAAGAAUUGGCACUUCCCUGUCCUACUCCAACGACGACGGGCGUCCCCUGAGGCGACCCCGGCUUCCAGUGGCCGUCACCUUGCCCAUUCCUAAUUCCUGGAGCCCCUAAUCCCAAAGAGCCCCAGAUCCCUUUCCCCAGGGUGUUUCUUCCUGUCAUCCGUUUUAGGAGUUCCCCUUUUAAACUCUUCCUGAGUCUCCCUGACCCCUAACGCCUUAUCCCAGAACCUUUCUCACUCAAUGCGAGUGAUAGUCCCCUAGCCCCCACUUUCGGGACCGGCCCCUUCCCUCCAACUGCUUCCUUUGCAGGCCCCACCAUCGCCUCCUAUGUAGCUUUGCGCUCCUUGAGAUCCCGAAUCUUCGCCGAGCCGGUGACUCUCCCUCCCUGGGUCUCCCGCUCCCCCCGACUCUCUUCCUUUGAAUGGCAUAGGAGAGAGGAACCCAGACUAAGAAAGAGGAGAGAGCACGGUGUGAUGUACAGUUCCUGGAUUGGAUCCUGGGCUGGACCAACAUCGGCUCUGAAGUUCUUUUCUUGGGACAACUGAGGAGAUGUGAAUAUAGGGAGAAGGCAGCAGCAAAUGCCUAUGAAGGGUUCCUCAAGGUUGGACCACCACAACGGAUGAAUCCCAAGUUCCAAAACAAAGAUGGAACAAGGGAGAAAGGUGCAUGCAGACUCUGGAAAAAGCAAAAAUCAGACCACUGGAGAGAGCGCUGGCUGUUACCAAACAGGAGACAGGAGAGAUGAGCUGUCUCCCUCCACCCUGGUACCAGUGGGACCAUGGCCCAACUGCGCAGAGCGACAGCAAGCUGACCUGGAAUAACGCUCCAAGAGAAGAAACUAUUUGAUGGCCAUCUCUCUUCCACCCCACUCCCACCUGCAUACUGAAACAAUCACACCCACUAUUCCUCCUUUUCUCUUACUCUGUCAACAGUCACCCCAGAGGUCACGGAAUGCCCCAGGAGGCCUGAAAUGGAGUGGCAGUCCUUAAUGGGCACGGGUGAGACAGAGUCCUCACUGCCUGUAUUCAGAGACAAAGACUUAAUUUCUAUUCCACCUUGCCCAGUGAAGGUUAGAAGCCGGCUGUACAUCUCCAAGGAAAUGGGGGAUGGGAAUUUCUUCGAAAUUAAUACUCUAAAUCCAGAGUUUUGCGAUGAGACCUCGGAAGGAAGGGCCAGGAGCAAAGUUUUGCAGAGGGCUCAGGCAUCAAUGCUGGAAUAGAGGCGGCUCCUCAUCUCAGAUGGGGUUUGGAGGGCUGGGGCGACAUUCGUUCAGUCAAGGACGCCCUUGGCCCUUUCUAUAUUAAAGCCAAAGGUUGUGCUGAAAAGGGAAAAUAUAAAACAGAUCCCACCCUGGUCCCACCCUAUCCAGAACCCCCACCACAGGA